AUACGUAGGUGGCGAGCGUUGUCCGGAAUUACUGGGCGUAAAGGGUGCGUAGGCGGAUAUUUAAGUCAGAUGUGAAAUUCCCGGGCUCAACCUGGGAAGUGCAUUUGAAACUGGGUAUCUAGAGUGCAGGAGAGGGAAGCGGAAUUCCUAGUGUAGCGGUGAAAUGCGUAGAUAUUAGGAGGAACACCAGUGGCGAAGGCGGCUUACUGGUCCAUUACUGACGCUGAGGUGCGAAAGCGUGGGGAGC
rnacentral:rRNA from 1 species